AUGAACGCUGGCGGCGUGCCCAAUACAUGCAAGUCGAGCGAACGGACGAGAAGCUUGCUUUUCUGAUGUUAGCGGCGGACGGGUGAGUAACACGUGGAUAACCUACCUAUAAGACUGGGAUAACUUCGGGAAACCGGAGCUAAUACCGGAUAAUAUUUUGAACCGCAUGGUUCAAAAGUGAAAGACGGUCUUGCUGUCACUUAUAGAUGGAUCCGCGCUGCAUUAGCUAGUUGGUAAGGUAACGGCUUACCAAGGCAACGAUGCAUAGCCGACCUGAGAGGGUGAUCGGCCACACUGGAACUGAGACACGGUCCAGACUCCUACGGGAGGCAGCAGUAGGGAAUCUUCCGCAAUGGGCGAAAGCCUGACGGAGCAACGCCGCGUGAGUGAUGAAGGUCUUCGGAUCGUAAAACUCUGUUAUUAGGGAAGAACAUAUGUGUAAGUAACUGUGCACAUCUUGACGGUACCUAAUCAGAAAGCCACGGCUAACUACGUG
rnacentral:rRNA from 1 species